rnacentral:rRNA from 1 species
GAUCAUGGCUCAGGGUGAACGCUGGCGGCGUGCCUAACACAUGCAAGUCGAGCGAAGCGCUUUGCUUAGAUUCUUCGGAUGAAGAGGAUUGUGACUGAGCGGCGGACGGGUGAGUAACGCGUGGGUAACCUGCCUCAUACAGGGGGAUAACAGUUAGAAAUGACUGCUAAUACCGCAUAAGACCACAGCACCGCAUGGUGCGGGGGUAAAAACUCCGGUGGUAUGAGAUGGACCCGCG